rnacentral:tRNA from 1 species
GGGAAUGUAGCUCAGUGGUAGAGAGCUUGCUUAGCAUGCUUGAGGUGCUGGGUUUGAUUCCCAAUACUACCA